UACGGAGGGUGCGAGCGUUGUCCGGAAUCACUGGGCGUAAAGCGUACGUAGGUGGCGUGUUAAGUGAGAUGUUAAAUCGUGUGGCUCAACCAUACGUUGUGUCUCAUACUGGCAUGCUAGAGGACGGCAGAGGCAAGUGGAAUUACGAGUGUAGCAGUGAAAUGCGUAGAUAUUCGUAGGAACACCAAUGGCGAAGGCGACUCACUGGACACAUAUUGACGCUGAGGUGCGAAAGCGUGGGGAGCAAACAGG
rnacentral:rRNA from 1 species